AUGGAGAUGAUGAUUAUUUCCCCAGAUGAUCGAAGAUGAUUAUACUGAGCGCAUAUAUAUAAAUUCUCUCUAACACGGAGAGAAUCCAAGCCAGAAAUCUGAUCCUU